ACAUAUACACAAAUGUUGAUACAUAUUUUUUUUCUUACAUAAAAAACGAAAAUUUUACAAUGUAAACACUUGCUUCUUAUUUAAACAAAUAUAAAAUAAUUUUGUUUUCAUAAAAAUAAACAAUUUUAGCAUUGCAUUUUUUCAACAUUUUUUGACAAAAAAAAAAAUUUUUUUUUUUCAUAUAAAAUAAUGUAAUAAACAAAUAAUUUUAAUUCAUACUUAGAAAUCUCUUUCGUUAAAUUGCCUGCGCGAAGCUGUGACGACCCGUUUGACUGCAUUAAGCUCACGAGAAAUGUUAAGUAACUACUGGGCUGUAUAGUGAACGAAAUAAAAAUGAAAACGAAAACACACACAUUCUCUCUUUCUGACAUCCGCAAAAAAAAAAAAAAUGCAAAAGCGCCAAGCGGUGUGAAAUGAAUUCUUGCUUAACCUCAAAAUGAAUGAUUUGCCCAGUUUUACAGCUCAACCAGACGAAAAUAACCCAUUUUAGACGCAACUGAUUAACUCUUUUCUAGCACACAGAGAAACCUUCACACCUAGUACUACCAUCUACCAACUACCAACUAUUAAUAUUCACAAACGUAUUCAAAAACCAUUGAAAAAGAAUAAUCAAAAUAACCAAUGAACUAUAAAUUGCAAACGUUUAAAAAUAGUUUACCAGCCAUAUAAAAAAAAAA